UAAUGCCCCCUCUGUAUUGGUAGAUCUUCUACAGAUCUGAUAUGAACACAAACAACUUUGUCCAUUGACCGCUUCUUUUAGGAACAUUUCUGCGGUGCAAGUUUCCGCUGUCAGUGCUCCAAGCCCAACUGUGACCACAUUGCUGCAGCUGGCGCUGGGCUGGAUAUGAUCACCCCAAAACUUCAGAGAAACAGAGUCCAUUUAGAGGGGACUUUCAGCUGCAGUUACAGUGCUGAGGAAAUGCCUGCUUCUUAAAGACGUACAGCAUAAAUAUCCAACAGAAAGCUGAGAAGAGUGUCAUGAAAACAUUCAAGAAGUAAUUUGAAAUGAAGAAUCCCUGACUGUCUCAUCACAAGUUCAUCUGCCACAGGAAGGCUAACCUUUGAAGAAACAUUUAUCAGAGUGAGCUAUUUGAUCAGGUGUAGCUCGGAGGUGGAUUUCCUUUCAGUGGUAUGUAGCUCCAAGCCAGCGCCCUGAUUGCUGUUACUCACACUGCAAUAUUGGACUCUGUGCCCUCCUUCUCUUCCUAAAAGGGCUACUCCUAGUCCUCACGAGACAGUGCAGUCUGGGAAGGCGACUGAGAAAUAAAAGAUCCUCUGCUAAUCCCAAAAGAAAACAAACACUGCAGGUACAAUUCCACUGUUGUGACCUACUGUUCAUUCACACAUUCCUCUCUUUUACUUUAUCUGGAAGUCAAUCUGCAGCGCAGCAGCAUUGCCUUCUCAGUAUCAACAGUGGAAGGAGAUGUGACUCAGGUAAAAGGGAGAAGGUUCAACCUCCCACUGCUCAGUCAACCCAGGAUCAAGCAGGAAGCAGUACAGUAAACAAAAAUUGCCUGGAUUGAAAAGGACCAUAAUGAUCAUGGAGUUUCAACCCCCUCAUUUUCUCAAGAAGUAUUUCUAGGUUUCUCAGUGGUUCCUCUCAGCCAAGAUGGCAGCGCCUCUGGGAGGAGCAGCGGAGAGGAACAAGUACAUACUGAUCAUGGCCUCCCAUUCCCCACCCUUCAGCAGAGUGGUAAAGGUAUUGGGACAGGGAGGAGGAAGGAUAUAGAAUCACAGAAUCAUAGAAUCGCUAAGGUUGGAAAAGACCCACAGGAUCAUCCAGUCCAACCAUUCGCCCAUCACCAACGGUUCCUGCUAAACCACGUCCCUCAACACAACAUCCAAACGCUCUUUGAACACCACCAGGCUUGGUGACUCCACCACCUCUCUGGGCAGUCCAUUCCAGUGCCUGACCACCCUUUCAGAGAAGUAGUAUUUCCUAACGUCCAGCCUUCAUGAAAGACUCAAGCCCCUGUUCUUCAUGGAAGUCUAUAAUCUUCACUAUAUCAUCCUAGAAUGGCAACACAAUAAACCAGAUCUCUGGAGUGCAUUUCAACAACAUCCUACCAGAGAUGAUCAGGGACCCCAGAAGAAGUGGUGCU
rnacentral:lncRNA from 1 species